UAUGCAUGGGAAUGCCGGUAUAUUGUGGAUUCGGAUUGGCAUCGUUCUCGUAGAGACAGGACACCUUGAAGACGCGCUUGGCAAGUACGUUCCGUCUGUCACAAUGAUUCAUUUUCUACUAGAACAGCACGUGAAAAGCUCCUUUAGCUUUAUUAUUACGCGAAAACAUGUUUUGUUUAACUAUGGGAACUUGUUAUUGUGUGUACGACUACAUGUUACGUAAAAAGUAUCAGCGGGCCGCUAAAGUUGGAGGACAGACGACAAGGUUCGCGCUCGCUUUGCAACAGUUGGUCGUCUGUUCUUGCUUUCUUCGCUUGGUCAUGCAUCAUGGCCUGUGCCUGCACCAUGGAGCAGUGCUUCUAAAGCAUCACAAACAUACGAGACGCGCACAUGUAGGCGAGAACUAUUGCGGUGCACAGCCAGCACCCAGACGACACAGGAUGAGUGCAGCCUUCCUGCGACAUCCAAGACUGGCACGCAAACCGCAACAAUCCUGUGCACAGUUUCUACCCAGACACAGCAGCACCACAGUUCUGGAAGGAAUGCUGGGCUUGGAAAGGGCAAGAAAAAAGGGAGAAAACGAGAGGCAUCCUGAAGUCGUGGCGCUGAGACAUGCACCAGACCAGCUGACUGCGGAGCUGACCAUGCGGUUCAUGGAGAAUAAUGAUGUACUCUGCGCAGUCGGCACCCUCCAGCCCUCGACAACCAGUGCGGAGAAGGACUCGGAAGCAAACGGACGCAUCGUGCCGCGGACUCGUGUGACGUGGUGGGAACACUGUCGACGGCCUCACGCCAGGCACUCGGUUUUCCUGUGCAAUGCACCCAUUUCGACAUACACUUCAAGCAAGGAAACAGCCAUCGCCAGCUGCGAGGUACGUCGCAUCCAAGGAACAUCGUGGCAGCUUGCUACUUCCGGACUGGAGCAUGCGCACGGAACAGCACCGAUAACGACAGUGACAUCCCAGCGCAGCAGCUAUAUAAGUGCAGUCGGCACGCAGCAAUCCUGUGGGCAUGGCGAAAGUGCUGUCAUGAAGACUGAACCGGUCAUUCUGUUGUUACAGUGACUCACGGCGCGGCACCCACUCCAGUCAACAGGCAGAGCGGGCAUGCAUGGCUGUAUAGAAUCGUCACCAGCAUGCCGGGAAGAACCUCCAUGCUGCUUUCCGCCCGUCCAUGGACUGCGUGGACAGCAGUCCCUCCACGAACCUUCGGCCACGAGGGGCGAUCACUCAGAGCAGGCCCUCUUCUUUGGUUCAGCCGGCAUAAUCUUGGACAUGUGCAGCAGAUACCACUGGUCGCCGCUAAACACUACCGCCCCCGCCCGUGACCAGGGCUCAGCUGUCCCCCUGCCGGCUACGUCGGUUGGGGUGUGACGUCACCAUCUGCUGAAUUAUAAAGGACUUGAGUCACUCAUUUGCCUUCACUGGGCACGGUGGUUCCGCACCAGGACUUGACACUGAACAUGCCUCCACUCCUGUUUUUUUUUUCAGGCUGGUUGUUGUUCUUGCCGUAGUGACAAUCCUAUGUUAUUGGUUCUACCGUGCCCAAAGUGUUGCGUUGAAAUGGCGUAUGAGUGUGUUCACGUAUGUAAACUGCUCUUAUGUGGUGACGUGAAAAGCAAUCCAGUUCCCAGUGUUCAAAACAUGUUCGUUCAAAUUAUAGAAAAGCAUAGCCAAAUUUAAAAAGAUAUUUUUGAUUUGAAAGAUUUUCAAGAAAAACUUAACGCAUCCCUUAAAACUCUGUCCGCUACAUUAGUCUACGAGUGGCGCAACGUGUUGUCAAUUUAGCAGUCAGCAUUGAUAGGAUAACGCCAAUCGAACAGCACGUGAAAUAUAUUCACCAGUCGUUUAACAUGGAACGGAGGAAGGUUACUGAUAUCGAAGACCAUAGCCGCCGUUCCUAUCUGAUUAUCCAUGGAAUUCCUGAAGAUGAAAAAGAAAGUGAAAAAAACGCUCAGAGAUAAGUUGCUCAUCGAUAUAUUUAAGAAAAAUUUAGGGUUGCAAACUUCCUCGGUGGGUCGAAUUCACAGGCUCGGAAAAACGACCAGUAAGGAACGUCCAGUUAUCCUUUGUUUACAAAUUUAUUUAGGAAAGAAAAGCAUGUGUUCCAAUGUAAGAAAACUUUUCAUCACGAAUUACUAUUCGAAAGAAACCUUAAGAAAGCGUAAGUUACUUUGGGAAUUAUCUAAAGCAGAGAGGAAAAAUAAACUCAAAGUAUAGCUCAUAAAUGACAAGCUGACAGUCAACCAUCAGACAUAUGUAUGGAACGACGCUACAAAUGAGCGGGUUCUGCUCUCUUCACAGCUUGCUGCGGAUGCUCGUACCCCAAACUGACGCACUGCCUCCAGAGGCCCGAAUCCUUCACACUUUAUUAUUUUGAGCACAAAUGCGCCGAGCAUAGUUAAUAAAGCGGAAUCACUUGAAAUAGCUUUAUUUACCCACAAUCCACACGUAGCCAUCAUAACAGAGACUUGGCUAAACCCUGAUAUUAGUAAUCGCUGUGUCUUCCCUCCUUCGUACUCUAUUUUCAGGCGUGACAGAGAAUCGUGUGGGGGUGGUGUCGCUGUAUUAUUGAAACAGAACAUUAACGUCACACUCUUGCAACAAAUUGAUAACCAUGAAAAUGUCUUUUCAUGGCCACACAUUCAUACUAUGCGCAAUAUACAGACAACAAAAUUCUGAAAAUGAGCACCAGCGCAGGCUGCAUGAUCAUCUUUCGUCGUUUGGCAAGAAGAACAUAAUUCUUGCCGGAGACUUCAAUGUUCCUAGCAUUGAUUGGUGUAAGGGAAGUUUCGAAUCGAUGCAUGACUCGGUCGUUCUUUGUGAUAUUAUGUUUGCUCAUAACCUAAAACAACUCGUCAUGGAGCCAACUAGAGUACGCGGAUCUGCUAGCUCUAUCCUUGACUUUAUGUUUAUUAACAAUAGCACUUCUGAUACAUUAACCACAGUAUACAAAGGCAUAUUUCACCAUAAGAUAGUAGUAGUAGCCUUCGCUCUAUUGAAAUGCAAUCAACCUAACACAAUAAAACAUACGACCAUAAAGGACUACUCAAAAGCUAGAGACGAGUUGGUACUGGAUUACUUAGAUAUAGCAUUCGAAAAGUUUUCAGCUGAGAAUGUGCCAGAAUUAUGGGCAAUAUUCAAAGAGCACUGCCAUUAUUGCAUUAAUAACGUUAUUCCUGAUAAAAAGAUACGCGUGAAGAAGAUAAAUUUGUGGAUUAACCGGCACAUCAUCCAAUUGGAAAGAAAAAUAAAGCGUCUAAAAAGAACUAAGUCCCAGAAGCUGGUUUCUUGGGAACAUUGACGGUUGAAUUGUCCGCAAGUGUUCGUUCGGCGAGGCAGCGUUACUUUACUGAGACCCUCCUACAGUUUAUACAGAAGAAGCAAAGUAAAUUCUUGAAACAUGUCCGGUAUUCCAGUCAGCCCAUUAAACAGAUAGUUGUAAAUGUCAAUGUCAUCUGAUGUACAGAAGAAAUGGCAGCGCACUUUAACUCCUACUUUCACUCUGUGUUUUUAGUGGCGAUGGUGAUGUUAACAAUGACAACAAUUAUUGUGAUUCUUCAUGCGAACCCGUUAUUUUAGUUUCUCAUGAGUGCAUCAUGGAGAUGCUUCUUAGACUUGAUACGAAGUGUUCUGCUGGUCCUGAUGGUAUACUCAAUGCUUUCUUAAAGCGCUAUGCAGAAUCCUUAGCCCAGUUCCUAACCAAAAUAUUUCGUGAAUCAAUGUUAUCAGCUUUAUUACUCCCUGAAUGGCUUACAGCCAUAAUUGUGCCUGUUCACAAGACCGGAGGCGGCCUUUUGGUAGGGAACUACCGUCCUAUCUCCUAACCUGUUCCUCCUGUAAACUUAUCGAACACAUAGUCGCAAAUCAUAUAUUGUGGAUUGUAAAUACAAGUUCCGCACUUAGUCCAUGUCAUCAUGGUUUCAGAAAGGGAUUUUCAACCGUUACACAAUUAACAACAGGUGUUCACACGCUUAUGGCAUAUUGGAUAAUUCCGGACAAAUUGACGUAUUAUACCUCAAUUUCAGUAAAGCAUUCGACAAGGUUCCUCACGAUAAACUACUUCUGAAGCUUAAGGUAACUGGACUACCGGCACCACUCAUAAAAUGUUUUGCUGCUGAUUUAAAACAGAGAAAACAAUAUGUCGAAAUUGACGGUUUUUGUUCCCCUCCACUUGAGGUCACAUCAGGUGUUCCGCAGGGGAGUUUACUGGGACCUCUAUUUUUCUUGUAUUAUAUAAAUGAUUUGGCCUCCUUUAUUGAUGAAAACGUCAAAAUUAACCUUUUUUCCGAUUAUUACAUGUUCAAAGAAAUAAAUUCUGUCUUAGAUCAAAGCCUGCUGAAUACUGCUUUGCAUGAUGUUUUGUCUUGAUCUGACAAACGGGGGAUGUCACUGAACUUUGAGAAAACACUAUUUAUGAGCUUCACCAGGAAGAAGACGCAUCUUACGUUUCACUGGGCCCUCCACACUACAUCCGUGACUAAGGUCACAAAAUACAAAUAGUUAGGCGUAAUCGUUAGCAACCAGCUUACUUGGAGUGAUUACUUGUACUUUAUAACCUCAUCGGCUAUGAAAAAACUCGGGUUUUUAAGACACAAGUUGAGGGAAGCACCUGCCAGUGUGAAUAAAUUAGCUUAUGAAUUUGUUGUUAAUCCAAAACUUGGGUAUGCCGCUGUAGUGUGGGAUGCUCACACGAAAAAAUACAUUUCACAGAUUGAGAAGGUUCAAAGGCGCGCCGUGCGAUUCAUUUACAACAAAUACAGGAAUUCUGACUCACCAUCUCUCCUCAUGAAAACUAAUCAAAUUAAACUUCUCUGUACCGGAAGAAAAAUACCGAGAAUAGAAUUUUUGCACUCCUUGUUACAUGGAAAGCUCGGCAUUCCGGCCACACCAUAUGUCACGCCGGCUUUAACCCCUAAAACACGAUACACACACACAACUAUAGCUUAACUGCUCAUUUCACAAACACAAAUUCCCCUAAGUGCUCAUUUUUUCCGGAAACAAUAACUGACUGAAAUUCACUACCUAAAGAGCUUUUCAAAUGUGGAAACCUUAAAAAGGCCAUUACCGAUAUUUUUUACCCUCUAAUACAGAGUUUUGCCAGUUGCAUUGGGAUCCAUUUGGAGGUGCCAGACCUGUAUAUGAAUUUGGAAGUGUUUUAUAUCUACAUGCAUGCUUCUUAACAUAUAUGUACAUAGCUGUUUGCACAAUGCAUUGUAUUCCUUCUUUGAAUUAGCCCUUCCUGCUUGGACCAAAAAGGUCUGCAGUAUUAUGUAAAUAAAAAACAUAAAUAAAAGUGCCUGAGAACAGA